rnacentral:rRNA from 1 species
UACGAAGGGUGCAAGCGUUACUCGGAAUUACUGGGCGUAAAGCGUGCGUAGGCGGUUUGUUAAGUCCGCUGUGAAAGCCCUGGGCUCAACCUGGGAAUUGCAGUGGAUACUGGCAAGCUAGAGUGCGGUAGAGGAUGGUGGAAUUCCCGGUGUAGAGGUGAAAUUCGUAGAUAUCGGGAGGAACACCGGUGGCGAAGGCGGCGAUCUGGGUCGAUACUGACGCUGAGGUGCGAAAGCGUGGGGAGCAAACAGG